rnacentral:rRNA from 1 species
GUCCUAGCGGUAAACGAUGGGUACUAGGUGUCGGGGGUAUCGACCCCCUCGGUGCCGAAGUUAACGCAUUAAGUACCCCGCCUGGGGAGUACGACCGCAAGGUUGAAACUCAAAGAAAUUGACGGGGGCCCGCACAAGCGGUGGAGUAUGUGGUUUAAUUCGAGGCAACGCGAAGAACCUUACCUGGGCUUGACAUGUUUGAGACCGCUGGUGAAAGCCAGCUUUCCCUUCGGGGACUCUUGCACAGGUGCUGCAUGGCUGUCGU